rnacentral:rRNA from 1 species
CCGGCUAACUCUGUGCCAGCAGCCGCGGUAAUACAGAGGGUGCAAGCGUUAAUCGGAUUUACUGGGCGUAAAGCGCGCGUAGGCGGCUAAUUAAGUCAAAUGUGAAAUCCCCGAGCUUAACUUGGGAAUUGCAUUCGAUACUGGUUGGCUAGAGUGUGGGAGAGGAUGGUAGAAUUCCAGGUGUAGCGGUGAAAUGCGUAGAGAUCUGGAGGAAUACCGAUGGCGAAGGCAGCCCUCUGGCCUAACACUGACGCUGAGGUGCGAAAGCAUGGGGAGCAAACAGGAUUAGAUACCCUGGUAGUCCAUGCCGUAAACGAUGUCUACUAGCCGUUGGGGCCUUUGAGGCUUUAGUGGCGCAGCUAACGCGAUAAGUAGACCGCCUGGGGAGUACGGUCGCAAGACUAAAACUCAAAUGAAUUGACGGGGGCCCGCACAAGCGGUGGAGCAUGUGGUUUAAUUCGAUGCAACGCGAAGAACCUUACCUGGCCUUGACAUACUAGAAACUUUCCAGAGAUGGAUUGGUGCCUUCGGGAAUCUAGAUACAGGUGCUGCAUGGCUGUCGUCAGCUCGUGUCGUGAGAUGUUGGGUUAAGUCCCGCAACGAGCGCAACCCUUUUCCUUAUUUGCCAGCGAGUAAUGUCGGGAACUUUAAGGAUACUGCCAGUGACAAACUGGAGGAAGGCGGGGACGACGUCAAGUCAUCAUGGCCCUUACGGCCAGGGCUACACACGUGCUACAAUGGUCGGUACAAAGGGUUGCUACACAGCGAUGUGAUGCUAAUCUCA